CCGUAUGAUUGAUGGUGCUUGCACCUGAUUGAUUUUCGGUCGCCAACGAGUGGCGGACGGGUGAGUAACACGUAGGUAACCUGCCCAGAAGCGGGGGACAACAUUUGGAAACAGAUGCUAAUACCGCAUAACAACGUUGUUCGCAUGAACAACGCUUAAAAGAUGGCUUCUCGCUAUCACUUCUGGAUGGACCUGCGGUGCAUUAGCUUGUUGGUGGGGUAACGGCCUACCAAGGCGAUGAUGCAUAGCCGAGUUGAGAGACUGAUCGGCCACAAUGGGACUGAGACACGGCCCAUACUCCUACGGGAGGCAGCAGUAGGGAAUCUUCCACAAUGGGCGCAAGCCUGAUGGAGCAACACCGCGUGAGUGAAGAAGGGUUUCGGCUCGUAAAGCUCUGUUGUUAAAGAAGAACACGUAUGAGAGUAACUGUUCAUACGUUGACGGUAUUUAACCAGAAAGUCACGGCUAACUACGUGCCAGCAGCCGCGGUAAUACGUAGGUGGCAAGCGUUAUCCGGAUUUAUUGGGCGUAAAGAGAGUGCAGGCGGUUUUCUAAGUCUGAUGUGAAAGCCUUCGGCUUAACCGGAGAAGUGCAUCGGAAACUGGAUAACUUGAGUGCAGAAGAGGGUAGUGGAACUCCAUGUGUAGCGGUGGAAUGCGUAGAUAUAUGGAAGAACACCAGUGGCGAAGGCGGCUACCUGGUCUGCAACUGACGCUCACACUCCAAAGCGUGGGUAGCGAACAAGAUUAGAUACCCCGGUAGUCCAUGCGGUACACGAUCAGCGCUCGGCGUCGGAGGGUUCCCGCUCCU
rnacentral:rRNA from 1 species